AUUUGAAUGAUGCAUCUACAAGCCAAGAAACACCAAGGAUUCCCAGCAGCCACCAGAAGGUAUGAGAGAGGCAUAGAAUAGAUUACGUCUCACAGCCUCCAGAAUGAACCAACUCUGCUGACACUUUGAUUUUGGACUUCUGGGUUCUACUACAAGAGAAUAAAUUGCUGUUGUCAAAGCCACCUAGUUCAUUGUACAGCAGUGCUACCAAAUUAAUACAAACUAUUAUACAUUGGUAUAAAAAAAAAGAAUCCUGUAGAACAAAGUUCUACAAUGAUAGGGUCCAUGUUUGUCCUGUUCACUGUAUCUCCUAUAACUCACAUAUAGAAAAUAUCCAAAACAUUUUUUUCCAGUAAGAGAAUGAAAAACUACUAAGUGAGUUUCUUAGAACUAGCGCAGUUCUAGGCUAUAUGGAAUGGUAUUUCUAGAAAGUUCUUUGUUAUAUGGCCCAUAUCACCAGGGUAAGAGACUAGAUAAACCUUUAGGGCUUAUGAUAGUUAGCAGUAGACAGACACACAUUACCAAUUGCACAAGAAUUAUAAGUUUGGGGGGAUGCUAUAACAAUCAAAAGGAUACUGAAUAAAGCCUGAGGCCAACAAGGAAGAGCUUCCUGAUACCUAGGAGGCAUGAACUUCAAGCUACCAAAAAAACAACAAGAGGUCACUAUAUUCCUUAGUAGUCACAAACUCAGAACAAAUGCCUUUACAGUUUAAUAUUCCUUUUUACAUAUCAUACUUUAUUACUGGGAAUGUGAGACUAGCUCAUUAAAACCAAAAUAUGUCAAAAUGAGGCUGAGGCAAACCAAGGGAUCCUUUUAAAAUACAUCUCCGACAGUGCUCAUUAAAGAUGGCCGACUGGACUUCUGUAUUUAUCUUUUCUUCCUCCCAAGUCUCCAUUCAAUCAGUAGGACAGGAAUAAAAAAAUGCAUUUGUCCAUAACAACAGAUAGAAGAAGAGAGAGACUAUUAAUGGAAAAGCAAUUUCAAUGUUUCUGGAAGGCAGAAAGAUAGAGGUGAUGUUGGCUACAGAGACUGUGUGGGAGGAAGCUGCAGCCUAGAAUCCAGGCUAUAUGUGCAGCCACCAAAGAAGCCCACGACUUUUCCCAGGGGACACUGGCAAGGCUUCAGACUCAAGGCCCCAUGGAAGGAGUAAAACAUGUGGGACUAGUGGAAGGUCUGAGAACAGAGUAGCUGGCUUCCCCACUCUAUUCAUCCCGACAGCCAGAAAAUAGGCAUUUAUCUCAGAGGGGAGACAUGAGGGCUCUUCCCUAAAGAUACUGAACAAAAACUGUCUGGGAGAACCACAGCAGCCCAUGUGAAUAUUGUCAUACUAAAGGAAAGUACACAGUCACCUGGAAUUUGGGGGCUAUAAGACAUAAUGACCAGCUUCUUGCCCAUUACCCCUAAAGCAAUAAUAAUUAUUAACAUAUAGCACUCCGGUUCACUGAAUCCCAGGUUAGACAUUAUAUGACCUGGUUCUGAAAUACAGAAUGACCAAUUAAAGCUUACCAGGACCUUUAGGAAAGAUUUCUAAAUGAAGGCAAAAGUAGACAAUAAACACAUUUUAAGAGUCACUCAGAAAGAAAUUAAGAUUAUUCAGGGAAUAGAAUGUCAACUUGGCAUCUUCAGAGAAAUUUGAGAAGAUAUGUAUUCACAAAGCAUGAACAGUAUGCUAUGAAGAAGAAACCAUAAGAGAACAUGAAGAGAUCAUAAAAAUUAAAAUAUGAUUCAAAAAUUCCAAGUCAUUAGCAGCUUUUUAAGAUAAGGUCAAAAACUUUUCCAAAUAGCUUAAAUUUUCCAAAUAGCCAGGAACAGUUCUAAGUACUUUAGUGACACAGCAAGCCUAUUAUAUAAAUAGUAUGAGGUUCUUCCUUUAUAGCUGAGGUACAGAGAAAUUAAGCAACUUUCCCAAGAACACUUAGCUAAGUAGCCAAAAUUAAAAGCCAGUCUAGCUCUAGAGUCCAUGAGCUUAACUGCUUUGCAAUACUAUUUCUAGUAGUAUUAUAAUAGCUAACUUGCAUUAAGUGAUUACUCUGUGAUAGGCACUGUUAUAAAUAAAGUAACUCAUUUAGUCCUCUGAACAAUGCAAUGAGUAGACAUCACCAUUAGUCCAUUCUAUAGAUAAGGAAAUGUAAGCAAGAAAGGGUAAGAAGCCACCAUGGGUCACAUAUAUGAUAAGUGGGGAGACAGGAUUUAGCCCAUGAAGUCUUGUUUCAGAAUCUAUUAUGUUACCUAAAAUGCAAGGUGGUAAAAAUAUGAAAGGAAAGAUAAGAUAUGGUAUGUAACCAUGCCAUUUAAUAUCUGUCUUAGGGUAGUUUCAGAAAGAGCAGAUAAAAUAGAGGUGAAGAAAUCAUCAAAUAAAUUUUAUAAGAAAAGGUCCCAAGUUAAAGGAAGACAAAAAUUUCAUAUUGAGAAAGCUUACUAGAAUACCAUGGAAGCUGUAAUAGUCCAUUUCCACACACUAUAAAGUUACUACCCGAGACUGGAUAAUUUAUAAACAAAAAAGGUUUAAUUUGCUCACAGUUCUGCACAGCUAGGGAGGCCUCAGGAAACUUACAAUCAUGGCAGAAGGGGAAGCAGGCAUCUUCCUCACAGGGAAACAAGGGAGAGAAGAGCAAAGGAAGAACUUUCAAAUACUUAUAAAACCAUCAGAUCUUGUGAGAACUCACUCACUGUCACAAGAAGAGCAUGGGGAAACCACUCCCAUGAUCCAGUCACUUUUGUCUCUCAAUAGCUGGGAGUUACAGAUCCCUCCCUCAACACAUAGGGAUUACAAUUGGAGAUGAAAUUCGGGUGCAGACACAGAGUCAAACCAUAUCCAAAGCUGAUUUUAAAAAGACACCUCAACUUACCAUUGUGAAAUUUUAAAGCAAUAAAAGAAAGAGAAUGUGUUAAAAUUUCUAUUGAUGGUAGAGGAAUGAUGAUGGAACAAGGUAGGAAAAAAACACAUAAAAUGAGACUUGACAGAAUAAAUAUCUCAUGUACUGUAGUGGGUGCUAGAAGACAGGGAAGCCAGACUUAAGAUUCUGAGAGGAGUGGUGUUCAAUCUAGAAUUCUGUUCUCAGCCAAAUUAUAAAAGUGAAUUUUGAAGGUAAAGAGGACACAAUUUAAAUGUGUAAGAAAUGAGAAACUUCAUCUCUUCUGGUGAGUAGCUACUUGAGGCUCUGUUCCAACCUGGCAAAACCUGACAGUAAAUUAAAAACAAAAAGACUUGGGAUCCAGGAAAUAAGGCUUCAACCUAAGAAAACAAUUAGAAAAAAAAAAAGCCCACAUGCAGCAGGUGCCAAGAUCAAUUAGUCUAGCUUGAAGCAAGGGCUAGAGAGCUCCAAAUGAGAAGAAGAAAGGAAGAGAGGGAGAGAAUAAAAAUUAAAAAUGGCAAUUUUGGGGAAACAAAAAGCUAUACAAAAGAAAGGAUAUAUAGUCAUAAUUGGUUUUCCUAUGGUGAAUGAUACAUUGGUGUAGUAAUGUAAAUGUUUUGCAUUACAUUUAACUGCUAUACAAAACACAAAUGAUGAUGCUUUCAAAGGAGAAUGUAGAAGUUAAAAAAUGAAGUACAUUUGAUAAAGUGUGAAGCCAAGCCAAGCCUUCAUUCUGCCAGUCUGCAUGGCUGCAGGGUUAAUACCACAUGGAAACCCCCAAGGCUUACAGCCUGUGUUCUCCAAAAUGGCAGCUUGAGCUGCACCUGAGUCCCUUUGACCUUGGUGGGAACAGGAGCUGCUAGCCAGAAUGUGGAAAGCAGAGUCCCAAGGCUGUGUAGGGCAGUGGGGCCCUGGGCCUGGCCCAUAAACAAUUCUUCCUUCCUAGACCUCUGGGACUGUAAUAUAAGGGGAUGCUAUGAAGGUCUCUGAAAUGCCCUUGAGGUCUUUUUCUCAUGGUCUUGGAUAUUCGUACUUGGCUCCCUUUUAGUUAUGCCAAUAUCACAAGUAAGGGGUUGCAUCACAGCCUCCUUGAAUUUAUGUCCUGAAAAAGCUUUUUCUUUCUUUGCCACAUGACUAGGCUGCAAAUUUUCCAAACUUUUAUGUUCUGCUUCAUGUUUACAUAUAAAUUCCAAAUUUAAAUCAUUUAUUUGCUCCUGCAUCUGAGCAUAGACUGUGAGAAGCAGCCAGGUUAUAUCUUUAACACUUUUCAGCUUAGAAAUUUCUUCCACCAGACACCAUAAAUCAUCACUCUAAAGUUCAAAUUUUCACAGACCCCCAGGGCAUGAAGACAAUGCAACAAAAUUCUUUGCUAAGGCGUGACAUGCAUGACUUUUGCUCCAGUUCCCAAUAAGUUCCUAAUUUCCAUCUGAGACUUCAUCAGCCUGGACUUCAUUGUUCAUAUCACCAUCAGCAUUUUGGUCACAACCAUUUAACCAGUUUCUAAGAAGUUUCAAACUUUCCCUCACCUUCCUGUCUUCUCCUAAGCCAUCCAAACUCUUCCAACUUCUAUCCAUUACCCAGUUCCAAAGUGAUGCCCAUAUUUUUAGGUAUUUUUAUAGCAAUAUCUCACUCCUUGAUAGCAACUUUCUGCAUUAGGGCAUUCUUUCAUUUCUAUAUAGAAAUACCUGAGGCUGGGUAAUUUAUAAGAAAAGAGGUUUAAUUGGCUCACUGUUCUGCAACCUGUAGAGUAAACAUAGCACUGACAUCUGCUUCUGGGGAGGUCUCAGAAAGUUUACAAUCAUGGUGGAAGGUGAAGGGGGAGCAGGAAUCUCAAAUGGCAAAACUGAGAGCAAGAGAGAGAGGAGAUACAGGUGCCAUACACUUAAGCAACCAGGUUUCAUGAGAACUCACUCACUAUCAUGAGGAGAGCACCAAGCCAUGAGAGGUCUGCCUCUAUGAACCAAACACCUCCUACCAGGCCUAAUAUGGUUUGGCUUUGUCCACACCCAAAUUUCAUCUUGAAUUGUAAUCCCCAUAAUCCCCACAUGUCAUGGGAGGGACCUGGUGGGAGGUAAUUGAAUCACAGAGGUGGUUUCCUCAUGCUAUUCUCAUGAUGAGUGAGUUCUCACAAGAUCUGAUGGUUUUAUAAGUAGCUGGCAUUUCCCCUGCUGGCACUCAUUCUCUCUCCUGCUGCCCUGAGAAGAGGUGCCUUCCAUCAUGAUUGUAAGUUUUCUGAGGCCUCCUCAGCCAUGUGGAACUGUGAGUCGAUUAAAACUCUUUUCUUUAUAAAUCACCCAGUCUCUGGUAUUUCCUUACAGCAAUGUGAGAAUGGACUAAUUCAAGGCCCUACCUCCAACUUUGAGGAGUACAUUUCAACAUGAGAUUUCAGCAGGGACAAAUAUCCAAACCAUAUCAGACAUGUUUUCUUUGUACCAAAGAUCAAAAACCUAUCAUCCAUGCCCAUAUGAGUUGAGUCCACCUGAAGCAGCGUCUUUUCCCAAUUGACACAAAUAUUCAAUAUGUAUUCAUAGGUGCCUUUAGGUGAAAGUAAUGUGAAGGGAAAAUAAAUCUCGUAGCCCCACAAUCACUAAGCUAAAGGGAAAAGUCAAGCUGGGAACUGCUUAAGGCAAACCUGCCUCCCAUUCUAUUCAAAGUCACCCCUCUGCUCACUGAGAUAAAUGUAUAUGUGACUGCCUCCUUUGGAAAGGCUAAUCAGAAACUCAAAAGAAUGCAACCAUAUGUCUCUUAUCUACCUAUGACCUGGAAGGCCCCCUCCCCACUUCAAAUUGUCCUUCUUUUGCUUCAAGUUGUCCUGCCUUUUCUGGACUGAACCAAUAUUCAUCUUACGUAUGUUGAUUGAUGUCUCAUGUAUCCCUAAAACGUAUAAAACCAAACUGCUCUGACCAUUUAGGGCACAUGUCGUCAGGACGUCCUGAGGCUGUGUCAUGGGUGCACAUCCUCAACCUUGACAAAAUAAACUUUGUAAAUUAACCAAGACCUGUCUAAGAUUUUUGAGGUUCACAGUAAUGAUAGGGGCACUUAACUUAAAAAUGUUAAGAGGUACUAUUUAUAGGUGAGAUAAUAAAAGGUUAAAGCAUGCGAUGUAAUGUUACAAUGGCAAUUAUUAUUAGGUUUGUGCAAAAGUAAUUGUGGUUUUUGUCAUUUAAAAGUAAUGGCAAAAACUGCAAUUACUUUCACACCAACCUAAUAUUAAAUAACAUCUGUAUAUGUAGGAGGUAAAGGAGAGAUCAUGGAUGGUAGUCAAAGUAAGCUAGCACCUCAUUGAUCACAUGAAGACCCAAUUAAUUAUGAUAUCCCCAUAUUUAGAAAUGUGACAGUAUCUAUAAAAAGAUCUAAAAACUGUUAAAAGUGGUUGCAAGUAGGGAGAGAAAAUAGGGCUAGCAAAAGACGUGGGGCCAAUUAUUUCUUUUUACCAAAAGCUCUUCUAUACAACUUGAUUUUUAAAAAAUGACUUUGGAUGUAUUAUUUUGAUAAAGUAGGUAUUUUAAAACAGUACAAAAAGUAUUUUAAAUCACUAUAUUUUCUCUGAGCAAUUUUUUUCUCUUUAUUGUUAUAUUUUAAGUCUAGAAAUCUGAAGAUUAGAGGAUAUAGACAUAGAGCAGGAUCAUUUAGUCAACAAAGAUUAUGUCAGAAAAAAAUAUGUGAAAGCGAAGAACGUUUAGUGGCAGAUUUGUGUAGGAAAGAAUAAUAGUAAGAGAAAAACACAACAAACAAUCUAGACAAAAAAAGGCAGGAAAUUCAAUUUUUUUUCAUGUGAUUAUUCAUGCAUUCAAAAGACAUUUAUUGUGUACUUACUCUAUGACAGGUGCUGUGAUGAUAAAAAAGUUGACCAAGAAAUGAUUCCAGACCUUUAGAAACCUGUAAUUUUAUAGGACUGGUAAGAAUAGACCCCAGUAUGGACAAGACAAGCCAUGAAGUAAAUAUCACAAAACAGGUACAAACAUAGUACUGGAAGAGUUCAAAGGAAGGGAAUAACUCUUGAUGUGACAAAUUAUUAAUACAGCUGUUACUAAAAGUCAGGGAGACAUUAUAGGACAAGAUAACCAUGUAAUGGCCAAACAUCUCUAUGAAAAAGAAUGUUUUCCUCAAUUUUUUAACCAGGGCUGGCUGCAGAAUAUUUGAAGGCAUCUUACAGGCAAAUAUAAAAAUGAUUAAUACUUUUGAAAAUAUAUGCCAAAAUAGUGAUAGAUGGUAAAAGUUCUCAUGCCAGGAAUAUCUGUUGGACUUUUAAACACUCUUCCCAAACCACAGUCAAUAUAAUAGAAACAAUCCUUCUCUAAAGCAUCAACUAUUAAUAAAUGUGCCUGAACCAAAAAGUAAAUCCAGCUUCUCACCAGCCUCAAUGAAAGCAUACUUCUGGGGCAUCUUCUCUUUUUAAGGCCAUGAAGCUUCCCCAUGACACUGAGAUAUGAUGUUAAGCAAAAUUCAAGGCACCUUUAAUGGGGUCAAUAGAAGAGUCUUCUAAUACAGUAAUAAUAAAUAUGGCAUCUACUCUAACAACAAGACCAAUGGCUAGAAUUGUGAUGUUGCCUUUCUUUUAACUUCCCAAGUAAAAGCUUCCAUUGGUCAUUUAAUAAGGGUACUUUUAUAUCCCAUUCAUUUUUCCUUCUAUGUGGAUGGAAAUUCCUUAGUUCUUCCCUUCCACCCUCUCACUCACUCUUCCAGGGAUAUUGGUGAGCAGGGAAAGAGAAACUGGACAUAAAUGUCUCAGGCCCUUUCCUUCUUUUUCCUCUUUAAGAUCCAGUUGCUCACAGAAAAUCACACAUUUUACUUAGAAUUUCUAAGCCCAAUGUUUACAGGGGCAAGUUCUUACAAGGAAGGUUGGUGGAUAUCCAGUUGUGUUUGUGACUGGGUGUGUAAAUCUUUCAAUUUGUGGGUAGAGUAUUAGGAAGCCCACUUAACUAACAGGACCCAAAACACAUUUCUAAUUAACCAAUGUCAGUAAGAAAUGAUGGACUUUACUCUCUGUCUUCCUUAUUCUUCUGAUCUUCAUAAUCAAUUCAUAAUUUGGAUGAGGAAAGGGAUUGGUAUUUCUUGACUCCCCUCAAAACCCAACAAUUUCUUACCAAAUAUACACAGGAUGAAGCAAUAAGCCUGGAACCAUCAGAAUAUUAUGUUGCACUAAUGAUACAAUCAGAGCUACAAGCCUAGUUAAUUAUACAUUAAGAGGUCACUCCAUUUUUCCUAUUCUUCCCCUGCCUUUAAUGACACAGACACACAAUCUGCUUUUUAUUAUUCCUGCAUACAUAUAUACAUAAUAUACACAUAUAUGUGUACGUACGUUUACAUGUAAACUAUGUAUAUAUUACAUACGAUGAAACACUUCAAAUAAAUAACAAAAGAAGAGAAAAUGGUAUAGUGAACCCUAUAUACUUGUCACUCAGCUUCCACAAUUAAAAUAACUUUAACAAAUGACCAAUCUUGUUUAAACCACCUUUUCCCUCCAACUUUUCCCAUUCAUACCACUCACUCCCUAUCUCUUCUCUCUGUGACCUCCAGAUUCAUUGACAGAAAAUAGAAAAGUCGGAAAGAUGAGAAGGAUGAGUCUGGUGGUUUGGAUACAAGUAGGCACUAGCUGAACCAGACACAAUCCCUGCCCUCAGGCAGCUUACGCCAUACAGUGAAAGAGUGUGGAGAGAUUUGAAAGAAAUUAUAUGGCACCCAGGGUGUACUUUUAUCACCAACAAUAUUUUGUCCUGCAUAAUCCAAGUUUCUAGGUAGAUUUUUGAGAUUUUCCUAGCAGUUGGAAUUGUCUUGAAGUUGGUAGAAAACUGUUAUAGCCAGCAUUUACAGACCUGUGGGAAAUAUGGUAUUACUAACACUGUUUUAUAUAGAUGAGAAAACAGGCUGACAAGGUAAAAUGAUAGGUUCGAAAUUACAUAGUUAAGAAAGAUCAGGCUAGCACUUAAAUCCAGGUCUGUUUGACUUCAAAAGUCAUGUUCUUAACCAUUCAACUUAUUUUCUCCCAUUGUACAAAAAUAAGUUUGUUUGAUUUCCUUAGUGGAUGGCCUGAACUUGAAAUACAAGUAAAAGCAAUGUGGAUUACAAUAGGCAGUUAGGAGGAGACACAUGCUGGCCCCUCCUAAUGGAAUCCUGGAGUAAGUGUGGAUGAGAGAGAAAUCCAAUGGUGGUAGUAAAGAGAGAAAUACUGAGUUUCCGUUUAUUUUGAGAAGUGAAAGAAAUGUAAAGAAACAAAUCAGGAUAAUAGCACAGUAUCACCAACUUUUUUCAAGAGUUUUUUUUACAUUAUGUAAAUUUAAUGAUGAGUUUUUAUAUUAAAUAUUUAAAUGAUGUGUUCUAGCCACAUUUUUGUUAUAAUGACAACCUCAAUCCCUUCUCCAAUGAAUCUAGCAAGGAUUAGGCCCAGCCUAAUGCAUUGGUGAAAUAGUUAAUAGUCUAUACAUUUUAACCAGGGAAAGACACAUCCUUUUCCCUGGUCCCAACCCUUUCCUUCUUCCUUUCCUUAUUAACUCUCUACCAAGUUGUCAAAGAUGUCCAAAUUCCACAACUGGUUGUUUAAAUCCUUUUCAAAUGCAGACUGUCUUUCCUGGUGGCAAACAAACACAUUUGAUACAGAGGGAGUUAGCAUUUAGGCCCAGGAGUUAGAGAUGGAAAAGAGAUGGGAAUAUAAAGUUAGAGAGGAAGGAAAAAGAUAUUGAUGCUGAAAGGGAAGAUAAGAAAUAGAAAAUAUAAAACUGCUUGCUUCUUUUCAUAAUUUUGCAUAAGAUAUUUGGAUAUGUCUGUAAAAUAAUACACUUUCAAUCUUUUUGAGACCCUCAAAGCCACCAAGCGUAAUUAUUUAGGAAGGAAAUCAGAAAUGUUAAUCAGAAUAAAGUUAGUUGGGAGAAGCAGUAUCACCAACACUCGGUAUGGAGUCCUUUUAGUUGUAUCCAUUCUAGUGAGCAUGUAGGGUAACUUGUUUUAAUUUGUAUUUCCCUAGAAUCUAAUAAUGUUGUGAAAUUUUUCAUGUGCUUAUUUGUCAUCCACAUAUCUUCUCUGGUGAAGUGUUUCUUCACAUCUUUUGGCAUUGUUUUAAUUGUAAUUUUUGUCUUCUUAUUCAGUUGUAAGAGUUUAUUUUAUGUUCUGGGCACCACCCUUUAUCAGAUGAGUAUAUUUUAUUUAUUUUCUCCAACUCAGUAGCUUGCCUUCAAAAAUUCAGCUUUCCUCACUGUAUCAAAAAUUACAAGUUGAGUUCCACAGAACCUCCAAGUUCUGCAGCGCUGCUCUGAGUUGCUGAGGUGGAUAAGAGGCAGAGCAUUUCUGCUACCUUCCAUCUUUCCUCUCUCUCCGUCUCUCUCUCUCUGUAUGUUGAUCAAUCUAUCCAUUUACGUAUUUAGUUUCAUUUUAUUUAUUUUUGAGGCAAGGUCUCACUCUGUGACCCUGGCUGGAGUUCCGUGGUGCAACCAUGGCUUACUGCAACCUCUAACUCUUGGGCUCAUGCAAUCCUGCUACCUCAUCUUCCUGAGUAGCUGGGACUACAAGUGUGCACCCACAUACCUUGCUAUUUUUUUUUUCUUAUUUUUUGUAGAGACAAGGUCUUACUGUGUUACCAGGGCUUACAUAUUUUUAAUAUUGGGGUACUGCAUAAGAUUUUGUUUGGGCAAAAUAUUUGAAAUUACCAUGACCACAUAGCAGGUUGUGGUAAUUGUUUACUAUGUAACAAUAAUCUGACUUUCCAAACUCGUAUUAAAGCCCUGAUGUGAACCUAAUGGAAACUUACCCUAAUGGGGAUAUUUGAGGACAUUAGUAGACUUCGGCAUUCUUAAGUUUGAUGGUGUCCACAUAUUAUAUGACACAUAUUAAAAUUAUCCAUUUGCCACAUUAAAUAUAUUUUAAUUUUGUAUAAACGACUUAUUUAUGUUAGUAUGGACUCAUGGAUAUUUAUUUUAUACUUUAGAUUAUAAUCUAAUACUAUUUUAUUUUGUUGUUCAACUUGUUUGUUUUUGCUGCUGGGA
rnacentral:lncRNA from 1 species